UGACGAACGCUGGCGGCGUGCUUAACACAUGCAAGUCGAACGGAAAGGCCCUGCUUUUGUGGGGUGCUCGAGUGGCGAACGGGUGAGUAACACGUGAGUAACCUGCCCUUGACUUUGGGAUAACUUCAGGAAACUGGGGCUAAUACCGGAUAGGAGCUCCUGCUGCAUGGUGGGGGUUGGAAAGUUUCGGCGGUUGGGGAUGGACUCGCGGCUUAUCAGCUUGUUGGUGGGGUAGUGGCUUACCAAGGCUUUGACGGGUAGCCGGCCUGAGAGGGUGACCGGCCACAUUGGGACUGAGAUACGGCCCAGACUCCUACGGGAGGCAGCAGUGGGGAAUAUUGCACAAUGGGCGGAAGCCUGAUGCAGCAACGCCGCGUGCGGGAUGACGGCCUUCGGGUUGUAAACCGCUUUCGCCUGUGACGAAGCGUGAGUGACGGUAAUGGGUAAAGAAGCACCGGCUAACUACGUGCCAGCAGCCGCGGUGAUACGUAGGGUGCGAGCGUUGUCCGGAUUUAUUGGGCGUAAAGGGCUCGUAGGUGGUUGAUCGCGUCGGAAGUGUAAUCUUGGGGCUUAACCCUGAGCGUGCUUUCGAUACGGGUUGACUUGAGGAAGGUAGGGGAGAAUGGAAUUCCUGGUGGAGCGGUGGAAUGCGCAGAUAUCAGGAGGAACACCAGUGGCGAAGGCGGUUCUCUGGGCCUUUCCUGACGCUGAGGAGCGAAAGCGUGGGGAGCGAACAGGCUUAGAUACCCUGGUAGUCCACGCUGUAAACGGUGGGUACUAGGUGUGGGGUCCAUUCCACGGGUUCCGUGCCGUAGCUAACGCUUUAAGUACCCCGCCUGGGGAGUACGGCCGCAAGGCUAAAACUCAAAGGAAUUGACGGGGCCCCGCACAAGCGGCGGAGCAUGCGGAUUAAUUCGAUGCAACGCGUAGAACCUUACCUGGGUUUGACAUGGAUCGGGAGUGCUCAGAGAUGGGUGUGCCUCUUUUGGGGUCGGUUCACAGGUGGUGCAUGGCUGUCGUCAGCUCGUGUCGUGAGAUGUUGGGUUAAGUCCCGCAACGAGCGCAACCCUUGUUCACUGUUGCCAGCACGUUAUGGUGGGGACUCAGUGGAGACCGCCGGGGUCAACUCGGAGGAAGGUGGGGAUGACGUCAAGUCAUCAUGCCCCUUAUGUCCAGGGCUUCACGCAUGCUACAAUGGCUGGUACAGAGAGUGGCGAGCCUGUGAGGGUGAGCGAAUCUCGGAAAGCCGGUCUCAGUUCGGAUUGGGGUCUGCAACUCGACCUCAUGAAGUCGGAGUCGCUAGUAAUCGCAGAUCAGCAACGCUGCAGUGAAUACGUUCCCGGGGCUUGUACACACCGCCCGUCAAGUCAUGAAAGUUGGUAACACCCGAAGCCAAUGGCCUAACCGUUGUGGGGGAGCCGUCGAAGGU
rnacentral:rRNA from 1 species